rnacentral:rRNA from 1 species
UACGUAGGGGCCUAGCGUUGUCCGGAUUUAUUGGGCGUAAAGAGCGUGUAGGCGGUUUGGUAGGUCCGCUGUGAAAACUCGAGGCUCAACCUCGAGACGCCGGUGGAAACCAUCAGACUAGAGUCCGGAAGAGGAGAGUGGAAUUCCUGGUGUAGCGGUGAAAUGCGCAGAUAUCAGGAAGAACACCCGUGGCUAAGGCGGCUCUCUAGUACGGUACUGACGCUGAGACGCGAAAGCGUGGGGAGCGGACAGG